ACGGGUGAGUAACGCGUGGGAAUCUACCCAUCUCUACGGAAUAACGCAUGGAAACGUGUGCUAAUACCGUAUACGUCCUUCGGGAGAAAGAUUUAUCGGAGAUGGAUGAGCCCGCGUUGGAUUAGCUAGUUGGUGGGGUAAAGGCCUACCAAGGCGACGAUCCAUAGCUGGUCUGAGAGGAUGAUCAGCCACACUGGGACUGAGACACGGCCCAGACUCCCACGGGAGGCAGCAGUGGGGAAUAUUGGACAAUGGGCGCAAGCCUGAUCCAGCCAUGCCGCGUGAGUGAUGAAGGCCCUAGGGUUGUAAAGCUCUUUCACCGGUGAAGAUAAUGACGGUAACCGGAGAAGAAGCCCCGGCUAACUUCGUGCCAGCAGCCGCGGUAAUACGAAGGGGGCUAGCGUUGUUCGGAUUUACUGGGCGUAAAGCGCACGUAGGCGGACUAUUAAGUCAGGGGUGAAAUCCCGGGGCUCAACCCCGGAACUGCCUUUGAUACUGGUAGUCUUGAGUUCGAGAGAGGUGAGUGGAAUUCCGAGUGUAGAGGUGAAAUUCGUAGA
rnacentral:rRNA from 1 species